ensembl:lncRNA
GGAUUGCAGCACGAUUGAAAGGGAAGGGUUUCAAAGCUGUAGUGAGACUUGCUAUGAUGUAUGGUUUGGAGAUGGUGGCACUAUAAAACAAAGAAAAAUUGGAAUUGCUAUAUAUGCAACUGGGUAUAGGUAAUACAUAUGAAAAUGUGAUGUUAAUAACCUAUAAAGCAAUAAGGAGGGUAAAGCUAUUAGUGAAGCAGCUGAGAUUAUUUGGCCAAAGCAAACUUUGUUUAAAAAUUUGAAACAGCCAGGAAAGUAAGAGCAUGGAAUCUAUUUUUAUAAUAUUAUGAGCAUUAAGAAAAUUAGAAAGAGGUAUUAAAAGGUUGUUUUUAUUCGGGGGGGUUUUCUAAAAUACUAACACUUUUAGACUCUAUAUAACACAAAUGUCAUGGCAGCAACUCACUGUGUGUAGAUGUAUGACCAAGAUGACCUGCUGAAUGUCAUUACUCAACAGAAUUCCAGAAUGAGGAAGAAAGUUGAUUUAAGUCACUUUGAACAUGGCAUGGAUGGCAACCAGACUGGUCUCAGUAUUUCAGAAACUGGGAUUUUCCCGCCAUCUUUACAGUUUACAGAGGAUGGUGCCACAGUGAGUGGUAAUAGUGAGAAGGACUCAUCCAGGCUCAUCCAGGCUGGAAAAACUGAUCAGGAAGGCUGGCUCUGUGGUCGGCAUGAAUCUGGACACUAUGGUGACAGUGGCAGAGAAAAGGACACUAAAAAACUGCUGGACAUUAUGGACAAUGCUGGGCAUCCUCUGCACACGGCCAUAAACAACCAGAGGAGUCUGUUCAGUGACAGGUUGCUUCUCCCAAAGACAAGAACCAACAGACUUAAAAACUCCUUUGUCCCACACGCCAUCAAACUGUUUAACUCCUCUCUGGAGAGGAAAGGGAGGGGAAGCAGGAGGACAAAGGAGGGGGGAACAACUAAGCUGUAGUGCCUUUUCACUGUCCAAUACUUUUUGUUAAUAACCAACGGCGCAAUAGACUUCAAUACUUGAAAUGUGCAAUUCCCUUGUAUUCUUAUUCCUAUUUAUUCUAUUUAUCCCUUUUGUAUACUCUUUAUUUAUAUAUGUCUCUGUAUUUAUAUAUGUUUAUAUAUGGUAUUCUGCUCACAUUCUGUAACUUCUGUUGGUGCUGUGCUAUUUGGAAACCGAAUUUCCCAGAGGAACCCACACGAGGGAUUAAUAAAGUUCUAUCUUAU